rnacentral:rRNA from 1 species
UACGGAGGGGGCUAGCGUUGUUCGGAAUUACUGGGCGUAAAGCGCACGUAGGCGGAUGUUUAAGUCGGGGGUGAAAUCCCGGGGCUCAACCCCGGAAUGGCCUUCGAUACUGGACGUCUGGAGGUCGGGAGAGGCGAGUGGAAUUCCGAGUGUAGAGGUGAAAUUCGUAGAUAUUCGGAGGAACACCAGUGGCGAAGGCGGCUCGCUGGCCCGAUACUGACGCUGGUGUGCGAAAGCGUGGGGAGCAAACAGG